rnacentral:rRNA from 2 species
UGGGGAAUAUUGCACAAUGGGCGAAAGCCUGAUGCAGCGACGCCGCGUGAGGGAUGACGGCCUUCGGGUUGUAAACCUCUUUCAGCAGGGACGAAGCGCAAGUGACGGUACCUGCAGAAGAAGCACCGGCUAACUACGUGCCAGCAGCCGCGGUAAUACGUAGGGUGCAAGCGUUGUCCGGAAUUACUGGGCGUAAAGAGUUCGUAGGCGGUUUGUCGCGUCGUUUGUGAAAACCAGCAGCUCAACUGCUGGCUUGCAGGCGAUACGGGCAGACUUGAGUGCUGCAGGGGAGACUGGAAUUCCUGGUGUAGCGGUGAAAUGCGCAGAUAUCAGGAGGAACACCGGUGGCGAAGGCGGGUCUCUGGGCAGUAACUGACGCUGAGGAACGAAAGCGUGGGUAGCGAACAGG